rnacentral:rRNA from 1 species
AAUAUUGGACAAUGGUGGCAACCCUGAUCCAGCCAUGCCGCGGGUGUGAAGAAGGUCUUCGGCUGGUAAAGCACUUUAAGUUGGGAGGAAGGGCUUUAGGUGAAUACCCUGAAGCUGAGACGUCACCAACAGAAUAAGCACCGGCAACCUCUGUGCCAGCAGCCGCGGUAAUACAGAGGGUGCACGCUUUAAUCUGAAUUACUGGGCGUAAAGCGCGCGUAGGUGGUUCAGUAAGAUGGGUGGGAAAUCCCCGGGCUUAACCUGGGAACUGCUUUCAUAACUGCUGAGCUAGAGUACGGUAGAGGGUUGUGGAAUUUCCUGUGUAGCGGUGAAAUGCGUAGAUAUAGGAAGGAACACCAGUGGCGAAGGCGACUACCUGGACUGAUACUGACACUGAGGUGCGAAAGCGUGGGGAGCAAAC